rnacentral:rRNA from 1 species
UACGGAGGGUGCGAGCGUUACUCGGAAUCACUGGGCGUAAAGCGCGCGUAGGCGGUCUGUUAAGUGGGAUGUGAAAUCCCCGGGCUUAACCUGGGAAUUGCAUUUCAAACUGGCCGACCAGAGUACGGUAGAGGGAGGUAGAAUUUCCUGUGUAGCGGUGAAAUGCGUAGAUAUAGGAAGGAAUACCAGUGGCGAAGGCGGCCUCCUGGAUCGAUACUGACGCUGAGGCGCGAAAGCGUGGGGAGCAAACAGG